rnacentral:sRNA from 1 species
UCCGGGGAUAGCCGAACGCUUAGCGGCGGGAGGCGACAAGCGGGGUUCCUGCCCCCGCUUCCCCGGAUCACUCGCAGGG